rnacentral:rRNA from 1 species
AAGAUUAAGCCAUGCAUGUCCAAGUAUAAACCUUUAUACGGUGAAACUGCGAAUGGCUCAUUAUAUCAGUUAUAAUUUACUUGAUGGUCUCUUUACUACUUGGACAACCGUGGUAAUUCUAGAGCUAAUACAUGCAAAGGGCCCGCAAGGGCGGUAUUUAUUAGAUAAGAACCAAUGCCAGCAAUGGCGUGUGGCGAGUCAUGAUAACUGUGCGGAUCGCAU